rnacentral:rRNA from 2 species
CUGAGAGUGGCGCACGGGUGCGUAACGCGUAUGCAACCUACCCUUAACAGGGGGAUAGCCCAGAGAAAUUUGGAUUAAUACCCCAUAGUAUUACAAGAUGGCAUCUGAAAGUAAUUAAAGAUUUAUCGGUUAAGGAUGGGCAUGCGUGACAUUAGAUAGUUGGUGAGGUAACGGCUCACCAAGUCAACGAUGUCUAGGGGUUCUGAGAGGAUGAUCCCCCACACUGGUACUGAGAUACGGACCAGACUCCUACGGGAGGCAGCAGUAGGGAAUAUUGGUCAAUGGGCGAGAGCCUGAACCAGCCAUGCCGCGUGCAGGAAGACGGCUUUCUGAGUUGUAAACUGCUUUUGUACGGGAAGAAAAUGCCCUUGCGAGGGAAAUUGCCGGUACCGUACGAAUAAGCACCGGCUAACUCCGUGCCAGCAGCCGCGGUAAUACGGAGGGUGCAAGCGUUGUCCGGAUUUAUUGGGUUUAAAGGGUGCGUAGGCGGAUCUUUAAGUCAGUGGUGAAAUCCUGCAGCUUAACUGUAGAACUGCCAUUGAUACUGGAGUUCUUGAGUGUACUAGAGGUAGGCGGAAUUUAUGGUGUAGCGGUGAAAUGCAUAGAUACCAUAAAGAACACCGAUAGCGUAGGCAGCUUACUGGAGUACAACUGACGCUGAGGCACGAAAGCAUGGGUAGCGAACAGGAUUAGAUACCCUGGUAGUCCAUGCCGUAAACGAUGAUUACUCGAUGUUGGCGAUAC